rnacentral:rRNA from 1 species
GACGAGCGCUGGCGGCGUGCCUAAUACAUGCAAGUUGAGCGAUGAAGAUUGGUGCUUGCACCAAUUUGAAGAGCAGCGAACGGGUGAGUAACGCGUGGGGAAUCUGCCUUUGAGCGGGGGACAACAUUUGGAAACGAAUGCUAAUACCGCAUAAUAACUUUAAACAUAAGUUUUAAGUUUGAAAGAUGCAAUUGCAUCACUCAAAGAUGAUCCCGCGUUGUAUUAGCUAGUUGGUGAGGUAAAGGCUCACCAAGGCGAUGAUACAUAGCCGACCUGAGAGGGUGAUCGGCCACAUUGGGACUGAGACACGGCCCAAACUCCUACGGGAGGCAGCAGUAGGGAAUCUUCGGCAAUGGACGAAAGUCUGACCGAGCAACGCCGCGUGAGUGAAGAAGGUUUUCGGAUCGUAAAACUCUGUUGGUAGAGAAGAACGUAGGUGAGAGUGGAAAGCUCAUCAAGUGACGGUAACUACCCAGAAAGGGACGGCUAACUACGUG